rnacentral:lncRNA from 1 species
GUUCAUGAGCUUGCUAAUUCUAGCUUGGCCGAACUAAUUAAGACUACGAGUUCGAGCUGAUUUGAGUUUAGCUCGGUACAAGCAGAUCCGAGUCAUGAGUUUUGAACUCUCUGUCCACCCGAUGUCGAGGAGACAAUGAGUUAAUGAUGAAAUGUCACUCAUGUAAUUUCGAUUUGCUUGGAUCAAUUUACAUACAAGCUGCCGAGAUUGCAAGAACUCUACAGCUUCACUUCUGAUUUCUGAAGAUAGAAAUUGAGAAGAGAAGCUAUCAUCUAUCUACAGAGGCAUUAAUUACACAGAGUUAACCCUAACUAUCACUCGAACUCCCAGCAUGCUCUUCGGUUCUCCAACUCCAUGGCAACCAUGGCAUCUUCACUUGUGUCCUUCUCCAUUGCCCUCUCGGAGUCUGAGAAGACCGCCUUCCCGAGGACACCGCAGGAGCAGCUUCUUGGACGCCAGCCGAUCGCAAGUUCUUGGACAUGGAGGGCAGCGGGCGCAUCGGCGGCGGCAGGGGACCACAAUGGCCAUCACGUCGGCGACGGCAGCAGCAGCAGCAGCAGCUCUNN